CAGUCGCCGCGGGAACACGUAGGUGGCAAGCGUUGUCCGGAAUUAUUGGGCGUAAAGGGCUCGCAGGCGGUUUCUUAAGUCUGAUGUGAAAGCCCCCGGCUCAACCGGGGAGGGUCAUUGGAAACUGGGAGACUUGAGUGCAGAAGAGGAGAGUGGAAUUCCACGUGUAGCGGUGAAAUGCGUAGAGAUGUGUAGGAACACCAGUGGCGAAGGCGACUCUCUGGUCUGUAACUGACGCUGAGGAGCGAAAGCGUGGGGAGCGAACAGGAUUAGAUACCCCCGUAGUCCCUGUCUCUUAUAC
rnacentral:rRNA from 1 species